rnacentral:rRNA from 1 species
CUGCUGCCUUCCGUAGGAGUCUGGUCCGUGUCUCAGUACCAGUGUGGGGGACCUUCCUCUCAGAACCCCUACGCAUCGUCGCCUCGGUGGGCCGUUACCCCGCCGACUAGCUAAUGCGACGCAUGGCCAUCCUAUGCCGGAGUCGCCUCCUUUGACCCCAAAGAAGAUGUCUCCUAAAGGUGUUAUGCGGUAUUAGACGGAAUUUCUUCCGCUUAUCCCCCUGCAUAGGGCAGGUUCCAUACGUGUUACUCACCCGUGCGCCGGUCCG